UGCAAGCGUUGUCCGGAAUUAUUGGGCGUAAAGAGCUCGUAGGCGGCUCGGUAAGUCCGCUGUGAAAGUCAAAGGCUCAACCUUUGAAUGUCAGCGGAUACUGCCGGGCUAGAGUCCGGAAGAGGCGAGUGGAACUCCUGGUGGUAGCGGUGGAAUGCGCAGAUAUCAGGAAGAACACCAACGGCGAAGGCAGCUCGCUGGGACGGUACUGACGCUGAGACGCGAAAGCGUGGGGAGCGAACAGG
rnacentral:rRNA from 1 species